GGCUCGUCACCUCCCGCAUCCGAUUCACAUGCCAUUCUCCCUAGGAAGGGGCUGCCUGUUGACGAAGCAGGAAGGAAGGUCGGUUUGGCCGGCAGAAGGCCAUGGGAGGACAAAGGGUCGCGGGGAAGCUGGCAGGCAGGUGAGACCUGGCGGGCCUGGCUCACACCUGUCCGCCUCCGGUGGCCAGGACGGGACAGGUCUGGAGGCGGGGGGGCGGCUCCAACGCCUCUGGCGUCCCAGCUGCCGCAGAACGGGGCUGGGGCUGCGCCAGGCCGGCGGGCGGGGGCGGGAGGCGGCGUGCCGGGCCCCGGGUCCCUGACGUCAACGUUGCCAUGGAGACCCCCGCUUCCCUCGGCGCGCGUCGCAGCUGCCGCAGACCCCGGGGCUGGGAAGGCUCUGCAGGGUUGAGGGGAGCAGAAAGUGCGGGCCUGGGUCCCGCCGCUGCGCCCCAGAGCACCGCCCAGCGAGAGGGCGGGGGACCGAGACCCCCCGAGGGGCUCCCCGCUGCCCUCCAGCCUGCCCCCACCCCCGUCGCCCGGACUGGGAGCGACAGUCCGGGAGCUGCCUCGGCCAGAAAUCAGCCCAGGGUCCUGCAUGGCCCUCCCCACGGUAACACACCCAAGGGGGGCACGUCCCUCCGCCCGCGCCUCCCACUCCCAGCCCCACUGUGUUGGGCGCCCUGCCCCUUCCUUCCUUCGAGGAGCAUGUAGGGCGCCCCCCCUCGGUCCCCAGCGCUUGCCGUCCUCGGCGCGGACCCAGCGAGGGAGAAGGGGCGUCCUAACACCGCCGCCCGCCUGCUGGCGCCGCCCUCCCUGGAGCUCACGUAGGAAACGGUGUUUUCUUUGUCUCUAGACCUCGUUCAGUCGAAUCUCUCCAGGUUCUUAAAGACGCCUUCAGGAACAGACUGGCCAGGCUGGCUGACUUCAGCCUCGCCUCCACCUGCUCUUCGUGCCUCUUCUCUUUUCCGAGCUCCUUCCUCCUCCGCGGGAGUGAAAGGAAGGGACGCCCGUCCUGCGCUUCGCGGGUCUUGCCCUUGUCCUUGUUUGCCCGCUGCUGUUUCCCUGUUGUGGCCUAGAUGAGAAAACAGAGGCGCUAGCAUGUCAGGUAAACCCUGAGGGAUAAGAAGAGAUUCAUCUGGAAAAAGAAACCCUGCAAAACCACCUCAGUUGAGAGCCGCUGCGCUGUGAGUGCCUGAUACUUGGGUAGGAGGCUAAGAUACCAGAUGGAGAAGAGGCAGCAGGAACGCACUGGCCCAGCCUGGCCGGGGAGGGGUGCUGUCUGCGGGCAGGCCCGGCAAUGAUGAGUGAGACUUCUGGUGACAUCAAACCUUCUCCUUCGGAAGCUGGUUCAGUGGGCUGUCAAUCAUAGUCACCAACCCUGCCCUGCCCUGCCAGACACUGGAGUCAAGCAAGGAGCAGCCACUGCACCCUGUCGCCCAGUCACUGGGUUGAUGAGUGAGACAACCCUGAAGAAGGGCUAUUGAGUUCCUGGAUCCAGCCUGACCUGAAGCUAGCUCCCAAUAUGUGAGACAAUAAAUUCCCCAUUUCACUUAGGCAAGUUUGAAGGGGAGUUCUGACCCAUAUACCCUUUUUGCUUCAUAGAGCAAGAGAGGUUCCCCCAAGGCAGCCCCCUUCUCCCAUGGACAAGCCUCUCAGCCUUGGUUUUGAUCCAGCCCCACACAAGACCAAUCACCCACUCUCAGGGAGUCAGAGGGAGAUUCUCCGUUUGAGCUGUGGCUGGAGCUCAGAGCAACAGGAAUCAAACUCGUAUAAAGUACCUUGAUGUGCCACGUAUAGCGCUGGGGCUUUGUAAUAAGAAUUCCCCAAGGCCACACAGCCUAGAAGUGGAAUCACUUCAGUGUGAACCCAGGUAGUCUGACUCCAAAGCAGGCACGCUUCCCAAUGCACCACAUGGCUUAUUACCUGCAGGGGGGAUUUUCUGUUCCAUUGAACAUUUUGAUUGUAAAAACAUAAAAUUUACCAUGGGGAGGGGGAGCAGUUUAAGUCAGCACCGCCCUUCUCAGCCAGAAGAUGACCUAGAGAAUCAAUUACUCCAAGUGGCCUGGUGCCCUGGAAAAUAGGAGGCUAGGUCCCGUUCAUUCCCUCAAGCCCUACUAAGUGACUGGCAAUGUUCAAGGCAGGGCCCAGUGUUUGACGUGAAACAGUGAGGAGCUUGGAGGGAGCUUCUUCUCGGGGUUCACCCCGCACCUGCACAGCCUCAAGAGGGAGCGCCACCUUCAUUCCUGUGCCCGGGAGUCUAUCUGGGCCCCUCUUGGUCACUCUAGUCCCAGCAAAGUCCUGGGCAAAGAGCAGGUUCAGGGUCAAGUAGAAUUUAGAUGAGUGAUGGAGUCUCACCCCAGCCAGAGCAGAAACUGCCAAGGCACCGUCCCUGAGAAAUGAUUCUGUCAACAAGGUGUCCGAGGGGCACUUAGCACAGUGAUGUACAACGUGGCCUAAUCGCUGCUGUUGGGGGUCCGGGGAAGAGACCGAGGGCAGAUAGACACCAGCACACAUAAACCCCGCAUUACUGCCUGUGGACAGUGUCCUGAAGGGAAGGGUGGCGUGGUCUGCAGGGGCGUUACCAGAAUCAGGACACCCGCUCCCAGGAGGUGAUGGUUAGGCUGGCCAGCUCCUCAGAGGCCUGGAGCCUAGCACUGGCCUCCCCCAACCUUCUAAAUUUUCAUAACCAGGCUGCUCCCUUUGUUCCUCUAGCCCUGGGCAUGGUAGCUGCUCUGUGUCAUUAUUAACCCACAAUACCUUUUUAGUUGACCGUUCUUUACAUUGUCUCUGUUGAAAGAACCAGAGUGCUUUCUAUCCCUUGGUAGGACUCUGAAUGACACAGAACGAACUGCUGCAAGCUGAGGAAAGAGGAGAAGGUAGCCCAGUCCAGGCAGAGGCACCUGCAUGGCGUGGCCAGAGGCUAGGAGGCUGGAGGGAGCGAGGCACAUUGCAGGAGUCAGGACCAGUGGAGCUGGAGGGGAUUAAUGGGGUGGCAAGUAGAAUAAGAUGAAACUGGACAGGUCAGCUCUUACAUGGCAUGGAGUCUGGAUGGGAUCCUGGGAGCAAUGGGGAGCCAUGGAAUGCAAUACAGCGACUGAGUGAUUUAACUUUCAAAGAUUGCCCUGGCUGCCGUGAGCCUAACUCGCUGUUGGGGGCAAGAGUGGGCAGGAGCAAGAUAGUAUGUUAAAAGGUGCUAACUCCUUUGUUUUUUGUUUUUUCCUUUCUUUACUGCUUGGAAGGGAGGCGUCUCAAGGAAGAAAAACAUGGGGGCGAUUCUGGCGCAACAUGAUGUCACAAGAUAAAGGACAGGACCUCAUGGGCGCUCGAAAACUCAACAGUAAAGAGAAUGCCAGGACCCUAAAUGAACCCCUACUAACCCUAAGUGAGUCAGAGAAAGUCUCCACCGAUGACUCCCCAGGACCGUGCGGCCACCAACGGAGCCAGCCUGCUGGCCAAAAGAAGGUAGAAAGCGCUUUCAGGCCUGCCCAGUGUCUCCUGGCGGAUAAGUGUGGCCCUUACUCCCCCAGAUGCCAUGAGGCCACGUGGAGGGGGUGACGGCCCCGAGCUGCUCGCGGUCUGGCUCCCCGCAGAAAAGCCCCAACUCCCAAGAAACGCCCGGGCCGGAAGCGGAAGCGCGGGUGCGUGCGUGCUGCAUUCUGGGAAGUGUAGUCCACAGAGGCCGGAAGAGUCCGUGAGAGCCGUGCGUUUGGGGGAAGGUAGUCCUCUAGUGGUCUGAGAGCCGGCGGCGUGAGCUGGAGUGGUUCACCUAAACCCCACGCCGUGGCGGGGGUUAACAGUUUGGGGACUUAGAGUGAAUACGUAGAAUUUGGUUUUGUCUCUCCCAACCACCAACACCCACGGAAGCGGAGAAUAGGACCUAUCCACGCUUCAGUGGUGGCAAGCAGGCCUGAGUUAUUCCGCCCUCGAACGAGUAAAUCAGCUGCGUAACCUCCCGGAACCUUUGUUUCCGUAUCUGUAAAACGGGCAGAUUAAUCAUUCUCACUUGGCAGCCUUGAUAACUCAAUCAAGUAACUAGCAAGGUGCUUAACACACCUUCCUUGCUUGACAAACCCCUCUUCCCUUUGAAGCUGAGCGUGAAGAGCAAAUGGAUGUGUUUCGCAACCAGGAGCAAAAAUUGUGCUUCAGCGGAGCACUUGGGACGUUUUCUUUGCAAAGUAGGAGUUGCUGCAAAUUGCAGCCAAAACUCAUAGGGGGGGAAAUAUAAGGAAAUCUUGUCACCCAGAGACUCAGCAAGGACGUGUGACCUUACUAGCCAACACACAGUAAGAUGUAAGUUAAAAAAUGAGACGGGUGCCUGGGUGGCCUAGAUGGUUAAGCGUCUGACUUGGCUCAGG